AUUAGAUACCCCGGUAGUCCUGGCCGUAAACGAUGGGUACUAGGUGUAGGAGGUAUCGACCCCUUCUGUGCCGGAGUUAACGCAAUAAGUACCCCGCCCGGGGAGUACGACCGCAAGGUUGAAACUCAAAGGAAUUGACGGGGGCCCGCACAAGCGGUGGAGUAUGUGGUUUAAUUCGACGCAACGCGAAGAACCUUACCAGGUCUUGACAUUGAUGGACAGAACUAGAGAUAGUUCCUCUUCUUCGGAAGCCAGAAAACAGGUGGUGCACGGUUGUCGUCAGCUCGUGUCGUGAGAUGUUGGGUUAAGUCCCGCAACGAGCGCAACCCCUAUCUUAUGUUGCCAGCACUUUGGGUGGGAACUCAUGAGAGACUGCCGCAGACAAUGCGGAGGAAGGCGGGGAUGACGUCAAAUCAUCAUGCCCCUUAUGACCUGGGCUACACACGUACUACAAUGGGAGUUAAUAGACGGAAGCGAGAUCGCGAGAUGGAGCAAACCCGAGAAACACUCUCUCAGUUCGGAUCGUAGGCUGCAACUCGCCUACGUGAAGUCGGAAUCGCUAGUAAUCGCAGGUCAGCAUACUGCGGUGAAUACGUUCCCGGGCCUUGUACACACCGCCCGUCACACCACGAAAGUCGGAAGUGCCCAAAGCCGGUGGGGUAACCUUCGGGAGCCANCC
rnacentral:rRNA from 1 species